rnacentral:rRNA from 1 species
UACGAGAGGCCCAAACGUUAUUCGGAAUUACUGGGCUUAAAGAGUUCGUAGGCGGCGCGGAAAGUCGGGUGUGAAAGCCCUCGGCUCAACCGAGGAAUUGCGCUCUAAACUGCCGUGCUCGAGGGACCUAGAGGUAAGCGGAACUGAUGGUGGAGCGGUGAAAUGCGUUGAUAUCAUCAGGAACACCGGAGGCGAAGGCGGCUUACUGGGGGUCUUCUGACGCUGAGGAACGAAAGCCAGGGGAGCGAACGGG